rnacentral:rRNA from 2 species
UUAAGCGACUAAGCGUACACGGUGGAUGCCCUGGCAGUCAGAGGCGAUGAAGGACGUGCUAAUCUGCGAUAAGCGUCGGUAAGGUGAUAUGAACCGUUAUAACCGGCGAUUUCCGAAUGGGGAAACCCAGUGUGUUUCGACACACUAUCAUUAACUGAAUCCAUAGGUUAAUGAGGCGAACCGGGGGAACUGAAACAUCUAAGUACCCCGAGGAAAAGAAAUCAACCGAGAUUCCCCCAGUAGCGGCGAGCGAACGGGGAGGAGCCCAGAGCCUGAAUCAGUGUGUGUGUUAGUGGAAGCGUCUGGAAAGGCGCGCGAUACAGGGUGACAGCCCCGUACACAAAAAUGCACAUACUGUGAGCUCGAUGAGUAGGGCGGGACACGUGGUAUCCUGUCUGAAUAUGGGGGGACCAUCCUCCAAGGCUAAAUACUCCUGACUGACCGAUAGUGAACCAGUACCGUGAGGGAAAGGCGAAAAGAACCCCGGCGAGGGGAGUGAAAAAGAACCUGAAACCGUGUACGUACAAGCAGUGGGAGCCUCUUAAUGGGGUGACUGCGUACCUUUUGUAUAAUGGGUCAGCGACUUAUAUUCUGUAGCAAGGUUAACCGAAUAGGGGAGCCGAAGGGAAACCGAGUCUUAACUGGGCGUUAAGUUGCAGGGUAUAGACCCGAAACCCGGUGAUCUAGCCAUGGGCAGGUUGAAGGUUGGGUAACACUAACUGGAGGACCGAACCGACUAAUGUUGAAAAAUUAGCGGAUGACUUGUGGCUGGGGGUGAAAGGCCAAUCAAACCGGGAGAUAGCUGGUUCUCCCCGAAAGCUAUUUAGGUAGCGCCUCGUGAAUUCAUCUCCGGGGGUAGAGCACUGUUUCGGCAAGGGGGUCAUCCCGACUUACCAACCCGAUGCAAACUGCGAAUACCGGAGAAUGUUAUCACGGGAGACACACGGCGGGUGCUAACGUCCGUCGUGAAGAGGGAAACAACCCAGACCGCCAGCUAAGGUCCCAAAGUCAUGGUUAAGUGGGAAACGAUGUGGGAAGGCCCAGACAGCCAGGAUGUUGGCUUAGAAGCAGCCAUCAUUUAAAGAAAGCGUAAUAGCUCACUGGUCGAGUCGGCCUGCGCGGAAGAUGUAACGGGGCUAAACCAUGCACCGAAGCUGCGGCAGCGACGCUUAUGCGUUGUUGGGUAGGGGAGCGUUCUGUAAGCCUGUGAAGGUGGCCUGUGAGGGUUGCUGGAGGUAUCAGAAGUGCGAAUGCUGACAUAAGUAACGAUAAAGCGGGUGAAAAGCCCGCUCGCCGGAAGACCAAGGGUUCCUGUCCAACGUUAAUCGGGGCAGGGUGAGUCGACCCCUAAGGCGAGGCCGAAAGGCGUAGUCGAUGGGAAACAGGUUAAUAUUCCUGUACUUGGUGUUACUGCGAAGGGGGGACGGAGAAGGCUAUGUUGGCCGGGCGACGGUUGUCCCGGUUUAAGCGUGUAGGCUGGUUUUCCAGGCAAAUCCGGAAAACCAAGGCUGAGGCGUGAUGACGAGGCACUACGGUGCUGAAGCGACAAAUGCCCUGCUUCCAGGAAAAGCCUCUAAGCAUCAGGUAACAUCAAAUCGUACCCCAAACCGACACAGGUGGUCAGGUAGAGAAUACCAAGGCGCUUGAGAGAACUCGGGUGAAGGAACUAGGCAAAAUGGUGCCGUAACUUCGGGAGAAGGCACGCUGAUAUGUAGGUGAAGCGACUUGCUCGUGGAGCUGAAAUCAGUCGAAGAUACCAGCUGGCUGCAACUGUUUAUUAAAAACACAGCACUGUGCAAACACGAAAGUGGACGUAUACGGUGUGACGCCUGCCCGGUGCCGGAAGGUUAAUUGAUGGGGUUAGCGGUAACGCGAAGCUCUUGAUCGAAGCCCCGGUAAACGGCGGCCGUAACUAUAACGGUCCUAAGGUAGCGAAAUUCCUUGUCGGGUAAGUUCCGACCUGCACGAAUGGCGUAAUGAUGGCCAGGCUGUCUCCACCCGAGACUCAGUGAAAUUGAACUCGCUGUGAAGAUGCAGUGUACCCGCGGCAAGACGGAAAGACCCCGUGAACCUUUACUAUAGCUUGACACUGAACAUUGAGCCUUGAUGUGUAGGAUAGGUGGGAGGCUUUGAAGUGUGGACGCCAGUCUGCAUGGAGCCGACCUUGAAAUACCACCCUUUAAUGUUUGAUGUUCUAACGUGGGCCCCUUACCGGGGUUGCGGACAGUGUCUGGUGGGUAGUUUGACUGGGGCGGUCUCCUCCUAAAGAGUAACGGAGGAGCACGAAGGUUGGCUAAUCCUGGUCGGACAUCAGGAGGUUAGUGCAAUGGCAUAAGCCAGCUUGACUGCGAGCGUGACGGCGCGAGCAGGUGCGAAAGCAGGUCAUAGUGAUCCGGUGGUUCUGAAUGGAAGGGCCAUCGCUCAACGGAUAAAAGGUACUCCGGGGAUAACAGGCUGAUACCGCCCAAGAGUUCAUAUCGACGGCGGUGUUUGGCACCUCGAUGUCGGCUCAUCACAUCCUGGGGCUGAAGUAGGUCCCAAGGGUAUGGCUGUUCGCCAUUUAAAGUGGUACGCGAGCUGGGUUUAGAACGUCGUGAGACAGUUCGGUCCCUAUCUGCCGUGGGCGCUGGAGAACUGAGGGGGGCUGCUCCUAGUACGAGAGGACCGGAGUGGACGCAUCACUGGUGUUCGGGUUGUCAUGCCAAUGGCACUGCCCGGUAGCUAAAUGCGGAAGAGAUAAGUGCUGAAAGCAUCUAAGCACGAAACUUGCCCCGAGAUGAGUUCUCCCUGACUCCUUGAGAGUCCUGAAGGAACGUUGAAGACGACGACGUUGAUAGGCCGGGUGUGUAAGCGCAGCGAUGCGUUGAGCUAACCGGUACUAAUGAACCGUGAGGCUUAACCUU